UAUAGGGAUGCAAUCUGCACAGCGCAUAACAGGAGUAGAUACAAGAAGUCUAUUUUAAAAUAGCUCAGUUCAUGUCUAGGAGUAGCCCUGUGUUUAUGGGAAUUAUAAUAAUCUUUUGCUGUAAUAUUACAGGUUGACCGAAAUCAGUAGCAGAAGUUAAGAAAUGUGGGAUAUGUUGUUAUACUGUUGAAACACAGAUAAGCUCUGAUCACAUAUAAAUAAUAAAAUCCUGGAGAACUUUUUUUUAGGAAACUGAUAAUACUCUGCUGCAAUUUUAAAUGGAUACAAUGUGCUUCUCUACCUUUACAUAUUACUAUGCGGAGAGCUGACUCUCGCCUAGUAAAGCAGCUCCAGAACUUCUUUCAUUUGGGAGCCAAAGUGGGUCUCCUAGAGACUUACUUUGCUCUGCUAGUGCACAGUGUUAGGAAGAGUGGCACUGGGGGCAAGUUGCAAAAGGGAAAAUUCCGGUUAGGUGUUAAGAAGAAAAAUGUUCACAGUGAGAGUGGUUGACCGCUGGAAUGGGUUGCGCUGAGAGGCUGUGGAAGCUCCAGCCUCGGAGAUGCACAGAACUUGACUGGACAUGGCCCUGAGUGACCUGCUCAGAGCUGACCUUGCUUUGAGCAGGGGGUGGCAUGAGGGGAGGAGGAGGGUUUGGAGUUGAUGCCUUCAGAGCAUCAGAGGUCCCUGCCAGCAUAAAUCAUUCUGUGAUUCUGUUCUGGCAACAGAGAAGAUUUCUUCUGACAAACCAUAACCAUGUACUCACUAUUUGUCAAAGUACAGAGAUUCAUUGAGAGGUUUACAGCUUUUGAUUUAAAUAAUAAUUUACCUUUUAAUUUCAUCGAAAAAAGAAUAGCUCCUAACACUGACGCAAGCAGCUCCACUGAUUUGAAGAUCAUUGAUCUCCUUAAGGCCAAGAAUGGAACUCUGGCAAGGCCCUUCACAGCUUAACUACAUACUGCAUGAAGAACCACCUCCUUUUGCUUGCUUUGAGCCUUUCACCUACUAGCCUCCCUUGAUGUUUCCUGCUUCUUGUCUUGGGAGAGAAGGAGGGGAAGCCAUUUCGGAGAGCCUCCCGAUGUGAGAUUCCUGGUAGGCAUUAUGAAAUUCCCUGGAGCUUAUAUGAGGGAAUGACAUAUAAGUACUACCCUGUGAUAGAGCCACAGGCAAGUCUGGUGAUCUGAGAAGAGUCAGUGUGUGUACAGCGGAGAGGUAUUUUGGAAGAGAAAGAACACAAAGUUGGAGAGUUUUUUGUUUUGUUUUGUCAAGGAAAUGUCUCAGAUUUUACCAGCUGCAGUGGAAAAUUUUGGAGGGUCUAUCAGAAUUUUGCAGUUUAUUACAGGUUCAAUGACAUGUACUGAUGCCUGGAAUGUCUGGACAGAUCGGGUGCGUAUCUAAGCACUCUACUGAGUUCCCUGCAACGCUAAGAUAAUAACAGCAUAUCCAAGACAGUGGAGGACCAGAAGUGAAACGACUGAACUACUGUUACUAUGUCUUUUGUAAUACUUGCCUAAAGGAAAGCUAUUAUAGCACACUUCCAGUUUCAGAAGAAAAAAUGCAACCUAACCAGUUAUUGGGUAAUUUCAAUUACAAAGCUCCUUAAGUUACGCGGUUAAGAUUACAAUUCCUGCAUUGCUUUCCUUAAGAUUAAAUCUAGCUUUGAAAUUCGUUAUGUAUGGAAAUAACUGCAUUAUUCUGUCUUACUUAGAAGGAAAUUUAUAUAUAUAAAUUCUUACUUAGUAGAGGACUUUUUCAUUCUGGCUUCCCAGGCCACUAGUCUGUCUAAAUGUUUUCUUUUAAAGAAAAAACAUUGUUUCAUUGUGACUCACAAACUGUAUUCACUGGGUGCUGAAGAGAGUUCUGUCUUCUACAUUAGUUUGUUAAUGAAAUGACUUAAGUUCACCAGGGUAAAUACAGGCACACUGAUUUGCAAAGGCAGACACACAGGUUUAAGCUGCAUGAGGCAGAAAUUAUUUUUUUUUGUACCAUGUACCAAGUCUGGUAGACAGGGGGAAUAAAGAUGGCUUUCAAAAUAUUUAUGUAUAAACAUUAGGUCUUCAGUUUGGCAAUUGAUUUGUUUGCUUUAUUGCAUGAAGACACCCUAAAAUAUGGA